GCUUGUCAAAGUCGGCUUUCCUGAAGUCAAGGACUUGCGUGUUGCUGACUGACUUGCCAGCUUUUCGGCAGAUGGUGAAGGUGAUCAGCUCGUGGUCGCUGUCACCCAGCUUCCCAUCGAUCACUAGGUCGCCGACUAGGUCAUCCCCAGUAGCCAGUACCAGGUCGAGCAGCGCUUUGCCUCUCGUUGGCCCAUAGACUUCUUGAGUCAGGUAGAGGUCAUCCAUGCAUGAGAGGAAGCUCUGCGACCACUCAGAUUUUGCUGAGCGAUCCUCCCACGAGAUGUCUGGGUAAUUGAAGUCACCCAUGACAACCAUGGUCCUGGAGCAAGCUACCUCAGCCAGUUCCUGGGCAAACUCCUGGUCAAGCUCAGGACUUUGGGUGGGAGGUCUGUAAUAGACUCCCACCAUUGUGUCCCCCGUGCCGUGUUCCCCACGGAUUUUAACCCAGAGGGUCUCCAGCCAUCCACCCUGGUCGCCAAUAUCGGCUUGCAGGGACGCGUAGCUUUCCUUAACAUAGAGAGCUACACCCCCGCCCCUUUUCUCUACACGAUCCCUCCUGUACAGGGUAUAGCCAUCUAUCCCCUUGGUCCAGUCAUGGGUGGAGUCCCUCCAGGUCUCCGUUAUCCCUAUGACAUAGUAAUUGUUUGCACUGAGCAGGAGGAUGAGCUCCUCCUGCUUAUUCCCCAAGCUCCUGGCAUUAGUGUACAGGCAGGCAAGUGCCCCCUGGGGGGCUCCUUCCUUGCCCACAGAUUUUACCAGGGCUGGGGCUGGGGUGGGCUCCCUUGAGUGCCGUGAUCCGCUGGCUUUGCAAGGAUUGCUCAGCAGGCCAGCAGUGGCGGUAGUCCCCCCGUCCCCCAAUGGGCUUAGUUUAAAGCCCGGUGGAGCAGGUCAGCCAGUCUGGCUGAGAAGAGCCUCCUCCCCAGGGGAGAGAUGUGGAGACCAUCUCUUCCCAGCAGCUCGCUGCCUCUCUCGCCAAAGAGCGGGCUGUGGUCAUGAAAGCCAAAGCCUUCCUGACGACACCAGCGCCGCAGUCUUUGGUUGACCACGUAGAUCCUCCUGUCCCUUCUCAGCCCAUAGCCUGAGACUGGGAGGAUCGACGAGAACACCACCUGUGCCCCCAGACCCUUAAGCCCUGCUCCCAAAUCCCUGUAGCGCCUCAUGACCUGGCUGGGAGUGCUCCGAGGUAGAACUCAGGCCUAGGCAGGAUAUGACUCACUGUUUUCCCUGUCUCUUAGGACAGGUGAACCAUUUUCCACCUCUAAACUGUGUGUUGUCAUCCUUCCCAUAAUCCCCUGCUGCCAUUUAAAUGGAAGGGCAUGACUUCUGAUGUUUGCGGAACCCACUUAACUGUUUUGUUUUUAUUUCAUCCCUUCAGGGAAAGAUGGGUGAAUGAUGUGAGUAUGUGCAGACUUCAUUUUCAGAAUAUGCAAGAGCAUUAAAAAUGAAAAACUUCUGGCAACCAAACUGGGAGGUGAUGGCUGGUGGUUCAAGAUGGGCGAGUUAUAGCAUAAAUGAAGGGUCCCUUGGAACAUGGUUUUAUAUUUCACAGAGCAAUGUCUUUUCUCCAAAGAGCACUAUUUUAGAGACUAACUCAGAGCACUGCUGUGGUCCUAGCAGUUGCCUGUUAAAUUAUGCAUAUACUGAUCGUGUAGAUGAAUCUGCUCUUUAAGGCAAGUGAUGUUUAAGAAGUGAAUGGCACACAUGGAAAGUCCAUCCAAAAUUCAAGUUGUGCUCUUUCAACCAGAGACAUCAGCUAAGACCAAAGGGCCAGGUGUAUGGGGCCAAGGAGUUAGGAAAUCAGAAGCUGGUUGGUUAGGAAGGGUUGUGCAUCAUGUAGACUUUAGACUGGGGAAAACCUCCUGGAGUGUGGGUAGUUCUUGCCGUUUUACUCAGGAGACUUCAGAAUUCACCAGCAGACUCUCCCUAUGCCUGUAGAAGGAUGUUUGUGCCCAAAAGCUUGCAAAGAACAAUUUUUCCAACUAUUUAGUUGGUCUAAUAAAAGAUAUCACAUCUACCCAAAGACCCUUGUCUGCCUAGUUCUUGCUCAGGCAUUUUAAUCUAAACUCAAAUCUUUGACCCGUGUAAAGCAGGAAGCUAGACUAGAUGAACCUCUCUGGCUUUAAAAUUGAUGAAUUUGUGAAGAUAGUUUGGCAGUCUUGGGGAAUGCAUAUAAUAACGUUCAUUGCUUCUCCAACAUAGAACUCUUUAGACAGUGAACAUGAUGCUGUCUUGGAGAGGAAUGAAAAUGUGAAGCUGGAACGGAGAAAAAAACUCAUGAGGAAGCUGAAGCUUUUUCUUCCUGCUCCCACCCCAGAGGGCAGGGCAACGAAGCCCUGGGACCCAUGGGAGCCGGCAACUUAGUUCAAUGAGGAAGCUGAAGUGCAGGCUGCCUGCAUGACUCAUCGCACCACUGCUGAUCUGCUUCUGUUUCGCAACCUCUCUUUUUACCCUCCAAACAACAAAGCUGAGAACAGGAUGCAACGGGGGCAGCUAGAUGAGCAGCAGAAGGGAGGAGCACACAAAAACUAGCAGCACGGUUUGGCACUGGGCCAUUAGCGGGGAUGGCUGAGGAUGCACGACUGAGUCCGCUAAUUCCUGUUGCAGUGCACAGUACAGGAACUGCUGUGGGACUAUGCAAUGACAAUAGGAUUUUUCUGAAACUGGUUCAAAUAGUCCACUUCAUCAGUGCUCACUGUGUGUGUGUUUGUCCUCUAGAAAGAGCUGCCAAGUGACUCGGAGAUUCUGGAUAAGGAAGAUCUAGUUUACACAGUCAGUGCCCGAGAAUACCGGCAAGAGGAGAAGCUCACUAAGGAAGAGACAGAGCAUCAACGCGUGUUUCAUCAUUUGGAUUAUCAGCGGUAUGGUCUGAAUCCGGGGGGGAAGUCCAGGAGACGCUGCUGGCAGAGAGCAUCAAGGUUUACCAGACUGGGAAGUGCAGUGACAUUGCCCUGGUGGUCACAAAGUCCGAUGACCUGAAUUUUGAGGAGUACAGGAGGGAAAGAUGGGUGAAUGAUGUGAGUAUGUGCAGACUUCAUUUUCAGAAUAUGCAAGAGCAUUAAAAAUGAAAAACUUCUGGCAACCAAACUGGGAGGUGAUGGCUGGUGGUUCAAGAUGGGCGAGUUAUAGCAUAAAUGAAGGGUCCCUUGGAACAUGGUUUUAUAUUUCACAGAGCAAUGUCUUUUCUCCAAAGAGCACUAUUUUAGAGACUAACUCAGAGCACUGCUGUGGUCCUAGCAGUUGCCUGUUAAAUUAUGCAUAUACUGAUCGUGUAGAUGAAUCUGCUCUUUAAGGCAAGUGAUGUUUAAGAAGUGAAUGGCACACAUGGAAAGUCCAUCCAAAAUUCAAGUUGUGCUCUUUCAACCAGAGACAUCAGCUAAGACCAAAGGGCCAGGUGUAUGGGGCCAAGGAGUUAGGAAAUCAGAAGCUGAUUGGUUAGGAAGGGUUGUGCAUCAUGUAGACUUUAGACUGGGGAAAACCUCCUGGAGUGUGGGUAGUUCUUGCCGUUUUACUCAGGAGACUUCAGAAUUCACCAGCAGACUCUCCCUAUGCCUGUAGAAGGAUGUUUGUGCCCAAAAGCUUGCAAAGAACAAUUUUUCCAACUAUUUAGUUGGUCUAAUAAAAGAUAUCACAUCUACCCAAAGACCCUUGUCUGCCUAGUUCUUGCUCAGGCAUUUUAAUCUGAACUCAAAUCUUUGACCCGUGUAAAGCAGGAAGCUAGACUAGAUGAACCUCUCUGGCUUUAAAAUUGAUGAAUUUGUGAAGAUAGUUUGGCAGUCUUGGGGAAUGCAUAUAAUAACGUUCAUUGCUUCUCCAACAUAGAACUCUUUAGACAGUGAACAUGAUGCUGUCUUGGAGAGGAAUGAAAAUGUGAAACUGGAACGGAGAAAAAAAAUCAUGAGGAAGCUGAAGCUUUUUCUUCCUGCUCCCACCCCAGAGGGCAGGGCAACGAAGCCCUGGGACCCAUGGGAGCCGGCAACUUAGUUCAAUGAGGAAGCUGAAGUGCAGGCUGCCUGCAUGACUCAUCCCACCACUGCUGAUCUGCUUCUGUUUCGCAACCUCUGUUUUUACCCUCCAAACAACAAAGCUGAGAACAGGAUGCAACGGGGGCAGCUAGAUGAGCAGCAGAAGGGAGGAGCACACAAAAACUAGCAGCACGGUUUGGCACUGGGCCAUUAGCGGGGAUGGCUGAGGAUGCACGACUGAGUCCACUAAUUCCUGUUGCAGUGCACAGUACAGGAACUGCUGUGGGACUAUGCAAUGACAAUAGGAUUUUUCUGAAACUGGUUCAAAUAGUCCACUUCAUCAGUGCUCACUGUGUGUGUGUUUGUCCUUUAGAAAGAGCUGCCAAGUGACUCGGAGAUUCUGGAUAAGGAAGAUCUAGUUUACACAGUCAGUGCCCGAGAAUACCGGCAAGAGGAGAAGCUCACUAAGGAAGAGACAGAGCAUCAACGCGUGUUUCAUCAUUUGGAUUAUCAGCGGUAUGGUCCGAAUCCGGGGGGGAAGUCCAGGAGACGCUGCUGGCAGACAGCAUCAAGGUUUACCAGACUGGGAAGUGCAGUGACAUUGCCCUGGUGGUCACAAAGUCCGAUGACCUGAAUUUUGAGGAGUACAGGAGGGAAAGAUGGGUGAAUGAUGUGAGUAUGUGCAGACUUCAUUUUCAGAAUAUGCAAGAGCAUUAAAAAUGAAAAACUUCUGGCAACCAAACUGGGAGGUGAUGGCUGGUGGUUCAAGAUGGGCGAGUUAUAGCAUAAAUGAAGGGUCCCUUGGAACAUGGUUUUAUAUUUCACAGAGCAAUGUCUUUUCUCCAAAGAGCACUAUUUUAGAGACUAACUCAGAGCACUGCUGUGGUCCUAGCAGUUGCCUGUUAAAUUAUGCAUAUACUGAUCGUGUAGAUGAAUCUGCUCUUUAAGGCAAGUGAUGUUUAAGAAGUGAAUGGCACACAUGGAAAGUCCAUCCAAAAUUCAAGUUGUGCUCUUUCAACCAGAGACAUCAGCUAAGACCAAAGGGCCAGGUGUAUGGGGCCAAGGAGUUAGGAAAUCAGAAGCUGAUUGGUUAGGAAGGGUUGUGCAUCAUGUAGACUUUAGACUGGGGAAAACCUCCUGGAGUGUGGGUAGUUCUUGCCGUUUUACUCAGGAGACUUCAGAAUUCACCAGCAGACUCUCCCUAUGCCUGUAAAAGGAUGUUUGUGCCCAAAAGCUUGCAAAGAACAAUUUUUCCAACUAUUUAGUUGGUCUAAUAAAAGAUAUCACAUCUACCCAAAGACCCUUGUCUGCCUAGUUCUUGCUCAGGCAUUUUAAUCUAAACUCAAAUCUUUGACCCGUGUAAAGCAGGAAGCUAGACUAGAUGAACCUCUCUGGCUUUAAAAUUGAUGAAUUUGUGAAGAUAGUUUGGCAGUCUUGGGGAAUGCAUAUAAUAACGUUCAUUGCUUCUCCAACAUAGAACUCUUUAGACAGUGAACAUGAUGCUGUCUUGGAGAGGAAUGAAAAUGUGAAACUGGAACGGAGAAAAAAAAUCAUGAGGAAGCUGAAGGUAAGCACAUGGUGAUAUGUUGGAAUCGCAGGAAAUUCAUCCCCUUUGUAUCUCUUUAGGGAAUAUGAAUUUCAUUAGUGCUAUGACACUUAGUGCUGCUGCGCUCCUCCUGCUAUACCUGUGGCACCUUCACGUGUGAUGUCUUGUGUUGCGUCAGGUUAACGGUCAUUUUACAAAGUUUAGAUGAUGGAUAUGUCUGGGCUGGUUUGCACAGGGCUGAUCUUGCCUCAGGCAGGGCUUGGAAUUGAUAUGACCUGGAGGACCCUUCCAGCCCCACUUCUCUAUGUUUUAUACAAUUAUUGCUCUAAAGCAGAACUGUUCACCUGGGCUGCUCUGACUUUAGAUGCCUUUUCUUCCCUCAGCUUUUUCUUCCUGCUCCCACCCCAGAGGGCAGGGCAACGAAGCCCUGGGACCCAUGGGAGCCGGCAACUUAGUUCAAUGAGGAAGCUGAAGUGCAGGCUGCCUGCAUGACUCAUCCCACCACUGCUGAUCUGCUUCUGUUUCGCAACCUCUGUUUUUACCCUCCAAACAACAAAGCUGAGAACAGGAUGCAACGGGGGCAGCUAGAUGAGCAGCGGAAGGGAGGAGCACACAAAAACUAGCAGCACGGUUUGGCACUGGGCCAUUAGCGGGGAUGGCUGAGGAUGCACGACUGAGUCCACUAAUUCCUGUUGCAGUGCACAGUACAGGAACUGCUGUGGGACUAUGCAAUGACAAUAGGAUUUUUCUGAAACUGGUUCAAAUAGUCCACUUCAUCAGUGCUCACUGUGUGUGUGUUUGUCCUCUAGAAAGAGCUGCCAAGUGACUCGGAGAUUCUGGAUAAGGAAGAUCUAGUUUACACAGUCAGUGCCCGAGAAUACCGGCAAGAGGAGAAGCUCACUAAGGAAGAGACAGCACCAGGGAAGCCACAUCUGGAGUCCUGUGGUCAGUUUUGGGCCCCUCUACUGCAGAAAGGAUGUGGACAAGUUGGAGAGAGUCCAGCGGAGGGCUUUGAGCAGGGGGUUGGACUAGAUGUGUCCUCCUGAGGUCCCUUCCAACCCUCAUUGUCUAUGAUUCUUAAAAGAAAUUCCUCUGUUGCAGUAAUUAUACAUUAUGUGGUUUGUUUAAUUCUGGUUAAUAUUCGGUUUGUAAAUAAAGGUUUCUGUUGCUUUGUUUGAGA